GUAGGGAAUAUUGGACAAUGGGCGAAAGCCUGAUCCAGCCAUGCCGCGUGAUAGAUGAAGGCCCUCUGGGUUGUAAAUAUCUUUUAUCUGGGAAGAAACUCCUCUAUUCUUAGAGGCCUGACGGUACCAGAGGAAUAAGCACCGGCUAACUCCGUGCCAGCAGCCGCGGUAAUACGGAGGGUGCAAGCGUUAUCCGGAUUCACUGGGUUUAAAGGGUGCGUAGGCGGGUUGAUAAGUCAGUGGUGAAAGCUCCGGGCUUAACUUGGAAACUGCCAUUGAUACUGUCAAGCUUGAAUGUCGUAGAGGUAAGCGGAAUGUUGCAUGUAGCGGUGAAAUGCUUAGAUAUGUUACAGAACACCAAUUGCGAAGGCAGCUUACUAUGCGAUAAUUGACGCUGAGGCACGAAAGCGUGGGGAGCAAACAGGAUUAGAUACCCCGGUAGUCC
rnacentral:rRNA from 1 species